rnacentral:rRNA from 1 species
GACGAACGCUGGCGGCGUGCUUAACACAUGCAAGUCGAACGGUGAAGCGCCUUCCUUUUUGGUGGGUGUGGAUGAGUGGCGAACGGGUGAGUAACACGUGAGUAACCUGCCCCCUUCUUCUGGAUAACCGCAUGAAAGUGUGGCUAAUACGGGAUAUUCUGGGUCUGUCGCAUGAUGGGUCUGGGAAAGAUAUUGUUUCGGUGGGGGAUGGGCUCGCGGCCUAUCAGCUUGUUGGUGGGGUGAUGGCCUACCAAGGCGGUGACGGGUAGCCGGCCUGAGAGGGUGGACGGUCACACUGGGACUGAGACACGGCCCAGACUCCUACGGGAGGCAGCAGUGGGGAAUUUUGCACAAUGGGCGCAAGCCUGAUGCAGCGACGCCGCGUGAGGGAUGGAGGCCUUCGGGUUGUGAACCUCUUUCGCCAGUGAAGCAGGCCUGCCUCGUUUGUGGGUGGGUUGACGGUAGCUGGAUAAGAAGCGCCGGCUAACUACGUG